GAUGAACGCUAGCGGCAGGCCUAAUACAUGCAAGUCGAACGAUAUUACCCAGCUUGCUGGGUAUGAAAGUGGCGCACGGGUGCGUAACGCGUAUGCAACCUACCUUAUUCAGGGGGAUAGCCCGAAGAAAUUCGGAUUAACACCGCAUAAAAUCACAGUUCAGCAUUGGACAAUGAUCAAAUAUUUAUAGGAAUAAGAUGGGCAUGCGUGUCAUUAGCUAGUUGGCGGGGUAACGGCCCACCAAGGCGACGAUGACUAGGGGAUCUGAGAGGAUGACCCCCCACACUGGUACUGAGACACGGACCAGACUCCUACGGGAGGCAGCAGUAAGGAAUAUUGGUCAAUGGAGGCAACUCUGAACCAGCCAUGCCGCGUGCAGGAAGACGGCCCUCUGGGUUGUAAACUGCUUUUAUUCGGGAAUAAACCUAUUUACGUGUAAAUAGCUGAAUGUACCGAAGGAAUAAGGAUCGGCUAACUCCGUGCCAGCCGCCGCAGUAA
rnacentral:rRNA from 1 species